GGCAGCUCGGUGGAUGCCUCUCCACCUGGGGCUUGCUGCCCCCCACUAAUUGGCGGGCUGGGUAUUUAAAUAGGGGGGGAGAUCUCAUUAUGUUGCCUCAGACCCUUUGCCCCACAUCGACGGUGUUACCAUGCACUAGAUAUUGGGUAACUCCUGACUGUAGGAGCCAUACUCUGGGGGACCGCUCUGCAUUUGCAGUUAUUCUCAGCUGUAUUUAUGAACGGGCUAUUCAGGGCUACUACCCCUGAUGCCCUCCCAUGAGCACUAUAACAAAUUAUCACUUUUUGGCUUGGUGCCCUCUGUGACUUCAGGUAUUUAUUAAGUACUGGUUGUGCACUC